AACGCACAUUGCGCCCGCCAGUAUUCUGGCGGGCAUGCCUGUUCGAGCGUCAUUUCAACCAUCAGGCCCUGUCCAGCCUGUGUUGGGGCCCUGCGGCUGCCGCAGCCCCCUAAAUGCAGUGGCGGGCUCGCUGUUACCCCGAGCGCAGUAGCGUAUCUCGCUCUGGGCGUGGCGGCGGGUGCUAGCCGUGAAACACUCACUAAGGUUGACCUCGGAUCAGGUAGGAAUACCCGCUGAACUUAA
rnacentral:misc_RNA from 1 species